rnacentral:rRNA from 1 species
GUAGCAUAAUCAUUAGGGGUUUAAUUGGAACCUGGAAUGAAAGGUUGGACGAAGGAAAGACUGUCUUUAAGGUUAGUAGUGAUUGAAGUUUACUUUUAAGUGAAAAGGCUUGAAUGUCUCAAAGGGACGAUAAGACCCUAUAAAGCUUUAUAAGUUAUUUAAAUUUGAUUGAUUUGACAAUAAGGGUCAAAUUUGAUUGUCUUAUUUUAUUGGGGCGAUAAGGGUAUAAUUUAUUGUAACUGCUUAGUGAAAAUACAAUUAUAAGUGACUUAAUGUAAAUAUGAUCCUUUAUAAAGAUUAAGAGACUAAGUUACUUUAGGGAUAACAGCGUUAUUUCUUUUGAGAGCUCCUAUCGAAAAAGAAGUUUGCGACCUCGAUGUUGAAUUAAAAUAUCUAUAUAGUGUAGCAGUUAUAUAAGAAGGUCUGUUCGACCUUUAAAUUUUU